AUUGAACGCUGGCGGCAGGCCUAACACAUGCACGUCGAACGAGUGGCGGACGGGUGAGUAAUGUCUGGGAAACUGCCCGAUGGAGGGGGAUAACUUCUGGAAACGGUAGCUAAUACCGCAUACCAUCGGAUGUGCCCAGAUGGGAUUAGCUAGUAGGUGGGGUAAUGGCUCACCUAGGCGACGAUCACUAGCUGGUCUGAGAGGAUGACAAGCCACACUGGAACUGAGACACGGUCCAGACUCCGAAGGGAGGAAGCAGUGGGGAAGAUUGCACAAUGGGAGCAAGCCUGAUGCAGCCAUGCCGCGUGUAUGAAGAAGGCCUGCGGGGUGGAAAGUACUUUCAGCGAGGAGGCGUUACUCGCAGAAGAAGCACCGGCUAACUCCGUGCCAGCAGACGCGGUAAUAC
rnacentral:rRNA from 1 species